CAAAGGAAGCGAUUCCGGCGGGGGAUGGGCAUGCGGCGCAUUAGCUAGUCGGCGGGGUAACGGCCCACCGAGGCGACGAUGCGUAGGGGUUCUGAGAGGAAGGCCCCCCACACUGGUACUGAGACACGGACCAGACUCCUACGGGAGGCAGCAGUGAGGAAUAUUGGUCAAUGGGCGUAAGCCUGAACCAGCCAAGUCGCGUGAGGGAAGACGGUCCUACGGAUUGUAAACCUCUUUUGCCGGGGAGCAACGGGGUCCUUGCGAGGGCCCUAUGAGAGUACCCGGAGAAAAAGCAUCGGCUAACUCCGUGCCAGCAGCCGCGGUAAUACGGAGGAUGCGAGCGUUAUCCGGAUUUAUUGGGUUUAAAGGGUGCGUAGGCGGGCUGUUAAGUCAGCGGUCAAAUGUCGGGGCUCAACCCCGGCCUGCCGUUGAAACUGGCGGCCUCGAGUGGGCGAGAAGUAUGCGGAAUGCGUGGUGUAGCGGUGAAAUGCAUAGAUAUCACGCAGAACUCCGAUUGCGAAGGCAGCAUACCGGCGCCCUACUGACGCUGAGGCACGAAAGCGUGGGUAUCGAACAGGAUUAGAUACCCUGGUAGUCCACGCAGUAAACGAUGAAUGCUAGCUGUCCGGGACUUCGGUUCUGG
rnacentral:rRNA from 1 species